UUUUAAAUGGGCAAAGGAGUUAAAUAGACAUUUCCCCAAAAACAUGUAAAUGGCCAAUAAGCACAUGAAAAGAUGCUCAAACUCAUUAGUUGUUAAGGAACUGCAAAUCAAAACCACACUGAGAUAUAAUUUCACACUCAUGGCUAAUGGGUGGGUUGGUGGGUAAGCGUGGGCAAGGAUGUGGAUCAAUUGGAACUGUACCCAUUGUUAGGGAGAAUGAGAAUUGUGCAGGUGCUCUGGAAAAAGAGUUUGGUAGUUCCUCAAGGUGGAGGUGUCUACUCUGCUUAUGUACCCAAGAGAACUGAAAGCAUGUGUUCACACAAAAAGGCAUAUACCAAUGUUUAUAGCAUUAUUCAUAAUAGCCAAAAGUGGAAACAACUCGACUCUAUCAACUGAUAACAAAAUGUGAUAAACAAAGUGUGGUAUAUCCAUACAAGGGAAUAUUAUUCAGCCAUACAAAAGAAUGAAGUACCUUUACAUGCUACAACAUGGGUAAACCUUGAAAACACUGUCUAAAUGAAAAUAGCCAGGCACAAAGGCCACGUAUUGUAUGAUUCCAUCUACAUGAAAUGUCCAGAAUAGGCAAAUUCACAGAGACAGAAAGUAGAUUAGUGAUUGCCAGGACCUAUGGGGAAAGGGAUGGUGACUGCUAAUAGGUACAGAUGUCUUUUCAGGGAGAUGAAAAUGAUCUGGAAUAGAUAGUGAUGAUGGUUGUAUAACCUGUGAAUAUACUAAAACCCAUUGGAUUAUACACUUUAAAAGAGUAAAUUUUAUGGUACGUGAAUUACAUCUCAAAAAAAUAGCAUAUAUGGAGAGACACAGUUAAGGUAGAAAAUGUUGAAAAGUUGUGAGAAAUCAUAAGAAAUGUAUCCCAGUGGACUUCAGUGAUAGGAAACAUCGACGGGGACUGAAGAGCAAGACAUACUCACUGAAAAACUCCGUUUCCAUUCAUGGCAGAGAGAAGCGUCAGCACUGAGGGACAAAGCGCUAGAGGCUAGUGUGUCAUUCCUUCUCCCCGUCACACUCCCAACUCAGGGACUCUUGUCUCGGGGCUGGCAAAGCUUCUCCAGUGGCCUUGGACUGAAGGCGAAGGUCAUUCUGGUCGUGGUUACAUGUGGUCACACUAAAUCCCUUUUAAGAGCAGAUUUUCUCAUAAUACCCCAGGCAGCCAUGGAGCACCUACUCUGUGCAGGCACUGUUUUAGUGACUUCGGAUCUAGCAGUAAACUAGCCAGCAGAGACCCCUGCCCUUGGGAAGAUUAUAUUCUAGUCAGGGGGGACAGACAGAAGAUACUGAAUAUAGUAAGUCAACUGUGGAGUGUGGCUGACGGUGAUGAGUGCUGAGGAACAGUGAAGGUCUGAUGGAGGGUGAGGGAGGCCUGGAGCAGGUUGCAGUGGAGUAGGUCAGGGAACGAGGAUGCCGAGGGUCUGAGCCAAGCAGGCACCUGGAGGAAGUGCAUGUUAGAGAGAAAGCUGGAGAGUGAGGUCCCCCAAGGGGAGAGGAGGGUGCCUGACUGUCAGGGAACAGCAGGACGCCUGCAUGCCUGGAGCAGGCUUGAGGAGGGACAGACGUGGAGAAACUUGAGCCCAUUGUGAGGACUUUUAAUUGGAGUGAAAUGCAGAGCAAAGAAGUAACAUGAACUGACAUCUUUUAAAGACUCGUCUUGGAUGCUGUGGUGACACAGACGGUAGGACGGCACAUUCUUUUGGUUCUCACAAAGUCUCAGUCUUUUCCAAGUAUAGCAAGAUGGAAAACCUCGUAACAACUGAAGAAAUGCCAAUUUGCCCCAGAUAUUUGAACGAUGGCAAGUGUGGAUGAUACUCAGCGUUGGGGAAGGAUACGGGAAACAGACACUCAUACUGAUUCAUUGUAUUAGUGCACAUUUUGGAAGACAACUUAGACCUCACAGCAUGCAGACCUUUCAACCCAGGAAUUCCAGUUCCCAGAAUGUGUGCAACAGAAACACUUGCUCAAAUGUGCAACGAUAAAGCCCAAGGGUUUUCAUCGCAGUAUUGUUUGUAAUAGUGAAUAAUGGAAAACAACGUAAACUAAUAGGGGACAGUUUAAUAAAUUACAGCAAUAAUAAAAAUAGUUAACAUUUAUUGAGAACUUAUCAGGUGCUGGGUGCUGUUCUAAGUACUUUACGUGUAUUAGCUGAUUGACUCCUCACAGCAAUCCCUGGAGAGAUACUAUUAUUUUGUCUAUUUCACAGAAUGGACAACUGAGGCACAGAGGGCCUAAGUAACUUGGAAAAAAAGCAAAUUUUGAAAUAGUAUGAAUCACUUGAUUUCACUUUCUAGAUUCAUGUAUGUACAUAUAUUUCAUACGUGCGUGGGAAAAUUCUGUAUAGGUACAGAGGAAUCUGGUAAUAGUUAAUGCUGAAAAGUGGAAAUUGGGAAGGAGGAUUUUCACUUUUACUUCAUACACUUUUGUAGUUCUGAUUUUUUUUUAAAUAAGCUUUAGUUUUACAAUUUAAAAACAAAUAAAUUAACCCCUAAAAAAGCACCUAAAUGCAUUACAUCUACGUGAUUCAGUUCCAUUUCACUGAAGAAAGACUAAAGAAGGCUCUUGAAGCUGGCUGUAAGAAGAAAUUUUAUUCCAGUGAGUCACCCCCAGGACAGGGAGAAGUGUGCGUUGUGAAAGAACUAAACGGAGAUUGACAUUCCAAAUUGGCUUAACAGAGGAGAAAAGUGGGGGUAGCAGAGGAAGGUAGGGAAAUAGGACAGUUGAGAGCAUAGGCCAACAGGAUUUGGCUGGAGGAAACACACUCAGAGAGCAGAGCAGAAUCGCCCCUCAGGGCUGCCCUCCGUCCAGCUGGUGGUCCUCCCAUGGGAGCAUCUCAGCCCCUGUCUCAGGCAGACAUGGCAGCGGGUGCUUUCUGUGCAUUCAGCCAAGUAUUCUGGCACAACGUCUCAUCCUAAGGAGUCAGGCGAACUUGUUUUCUUCAUGAAUGGAAGAUAAGUAAGUUUUUCACACUGCAGUUUCUAAAUGUAUAUAGAGAAAGAAAACAUGGUAGAAAGAGCAUAUUAGGUUCAGAUGACCAGUGUGUGAACUGUGAUUGACUCAACGACUGUGACAAACCUCUGUGAAGUUUUAGUUCCCUGUGAGGAGGGGGUGGAAUCUGCUCGUGAGACAUAUUAGGAUUACGAGGUGAAAGGCACUUGAUUACAUUGAUGUUUUCAGAAGGUAUUUGGUAAUCACAUUAGUAUUCAUCUAAGUGUCAGGCAUCGAUUUCUCUUCAUUACCAUCUUCCGCAUUUUUCUUCCUCCCACUUCCUUCUUCCCCUCUGUCUCCUGAAACCACCCUCCAUGGCCCCACACAAACACACAUAAAUUAAGAGUGUAAAAUCCCCAGAUCAUUGGGAACUAAUUAUAAAACUUUCGACGAGCCAGGCUAGAAGAGAAGUCAUACUGGAAAACCAGGGAUAAAUUUUCACAGUUAGUUUACAUUUUAAUCUGUUGCUCCUUUAAGUUGCCUUAAAUCACUCAACACAAUGGGCAAAGUAAUUUUCUGGUCCCACUUUUGUUUUGAGUUCUUGAGGUUUAGCUAAGGCACAAUCCACCAAUGGAACAUGCUCUCUGCUGUUCACUGUCCUUGGCACUGCACCUGAAGGGCAGCGCAGCAUCAUUGUUUCCAGCACCACUGGCAAAGAAGGGGUAGUCAAGGUUGAAACUGAGCGUAAUGGUCCUGUGUGCUGUGCACCCCACACAGGGCUGUAUACAGAAGUGGAGGCUCGGGGCAGUUAUGUAAUGUGCCCGAGGUCACAAAGCUAACAGGCAUCACUAGGACCUUGCUUCUCACUUUCUGCUCCCAGGUUUGUGUUUCCCCUGCGCCAUGUUCCCCCUCCUGAGGUGGUGGCAAGCCUUCUAGAAUCCCUCCACCAGUGGGAAGUGGCAGUGGGGCAUGCGACUAUUUUCCUGCAGGUGCUGGAAUAAUGCUCUUUGUCUACUGCUGCCAAAGUCCUGUUUUCUUAACUUUUCAAAUAUGAGUGGGGAGAGGCUGCAGCUCAGUGGUUAGAGUAAUGCUUAGCAUGCACGAGGUCCUGGGUUCAAUCCCCAAUGCCUCCGUUAAAAUAACUAAAUAAAUCUAAUUACUUCCCCCACAAACAAACAACCCUCCCCCUAAAAAACUCCACAAAUAUGAGUGGAGAGCAGAGUGUAUGUUCUGCAAGUAGUGAUGAGAGUUAAAACACUUUUAUUUAACAGUGUGAACUCGAGAAUUUUAAAAGUUCAUAAUAUUCAAUAUUUCAUCAUCUUUUAUUGUUUUCCUGAAACCAGUGUUGUGUUAGAAUGCAAAUCCCUUGUUGGUUAUCCUCUGAAACGAAGGCAAACAUUUGUCUUGCCAAAAUGAAGCCAAAUACAAUACAGAGUUAUGUAAUUUUAUAAUUGCAAAGAAUGAUGUUUGACCAACUCAGGCAAACAAGAUCAACAAACGUAUUCUAAAUGAUUCUUAUUAUUCAGAAGUAACGGGCUGCAGGGACCCUUCCUCAAUCUAUAUAAUCAUUCCCUCUGCAGGGGUCAUUGAGAGUAAUUCAAACCUGGAAGUAAAUUUAUUAUUCUACCUGAGAAAAAACUGUAUCAUUUUGUUUGUUUGGGAAAGCAAAGCAAAUAAACUCGGGAAACUUUGCAGUCUCUCUUGCAUUUAGAGAAAUUUUUCCUCCUAUCAGGAUUCAUUACAAACAUUUUGAUCAUGAGUGAGAUUAAAGUCAGUGGCUUGUCUUGCAAGUGAAAUGGUAUAGGACAAUGGUUUCCGAAUUUAAGCAAGGAAAAUGAUCCCCUGGAGAUCUUGUUUAAUCUUGUGGAAUUUUUGAGCCCCACUCCCAGACACCUGACUCACACUGAGAAACCUAAAUUCAAGGGGACUUCAGCCUCUUGGUCAGUAUCCCUCCUGGAGAUUAUUCUGAUUCCCGAAGUUCAGUCACAAUAAUACAGACAGGCGCCCCCUGUAGGCUGACCUUAGGACAAGUUUGGAGCCCAGAAAACAUCCCUAAACUUGCAACCAGGCAAGAAAUGAAAGCCAGUAUCCAGAGAAGUACCCUUGGAGACAUUGAUUUUUAUUUGUUUUAAUACCAAAAAAAGAAGUUUGAAAAGUGCCGUUAGGAACUCAGUGGGCAGUACUUUGUUGGUGUACAUUCUUUUCACUUUGACAUUUUCACAUUCAUUCAUGUGACUGGAUGAAGGCGUCAUGACAGUAUUGGGAUGUGUCCCAUGUCCAUCCAGAAAACCAGCACUAAUUCACUACGUCCCUUCUGCUCAUUCCAACAUCAAUUUAUGAAUGAAUCAAAAGUUUAAGCAUUUGGUGGGGGGGGACAACUAGAGAUUUCUUUUUCUUUUUUUAAGCAGAACACCCAAGGUUGUAUCAAAUUCUUUACCAAUCAUCUUAUGUUUCUUUGUUUUAAAAAAGUGGUAUUGGGAAGGAUCCAAUCAUAUAAUAGAAAAUUUCCAUUUUUGUUGAUUUGUAUGCCUUCUAGGUGCCUCCUCCUUCCCUGAUUUUGUGUGAAUUAAAAUAAAAGAGAGACCCAGGAGAGGUCUAAAAGCCUGUCUUCACCCUCCCUAAUAACCCUCCUGAGGACAGAUGACCAUGUUCAGGGUCAAACUCAAGUCUCUUUCUCCUCUUGAGAGGGAUAAUGAAUUCCAUAAGCAUUCAGCAGCCUGAACAUUUGGGGGAAUGCCCAGUCAUCCUCAUUAUUCACUCAAUCUGUAUGUAUCAGGCUUCCCCUAUCCCAGGCACUGAGAACCAAAGUUACCUGCCUUCAUGGAGUUUCCACUCUGGCGAAGUUAGUGAAUGACUUGAAUGACUUGCCUUCAACGUCAUCUCUUUUAACUCAUUCCUUAUAUCCUCUGAGUCUUUAUAAGAUCACAGAUCACCUAGAGAUUGUCUGAAGGGUAACGAGUUUCUCUGACCAGCCGUAACAAGUAACAAACUGAUAAGGACAUAGGAAUAAAUAGAGACUGUUUCAACUCCAAAAGUAUUUCCAACAGGAUAGUUAGGAGGUGGAAUUGGCUUUUUCAAUUCUGAAUAUUAGAAUAUUUAUUUUUGAGUAACCAUACUCAAGUUCAAAAUCAUUUGUGUGAUGGUCCAACUUUAAAUGUACUCAACUAAUUAUAUGCAUAGCAAAGUAUAUGCAUACCAUUAUAAUUAUCUAAAUACAUUUUCCUUUUUUGGGGGGGGGGAACUGCUGCUGUCACUGUGCCAAUUCCUCUCAGCUUCACUGUGCAAACUCUGAAGUCAUUUCUCCGUCCCUGCCUGCCUGGUGCCCACCUGCUAUCUCGAUGGGGCUGCUGCCCCCACCUUAGAAGGCACAGGAAGCACCCAACCAGGACUGACCUAGUUCAGGAAAGGAUUGCUAAAGGCCACGGCAGCCAUGCGAGUUCUGCACCCAGACAUGGGGAUGAGCAUCUUCACUCUCCUAAGGGGCCACCUGGAGCCACCUCAGAGCAGCUAAUGGGAGUUUGAGUGGGGAGUCCAGAACCUCUGACGCUGUGGAGUGAGUACUGCCCUUGACAACAGGAGCAGGGUGCUCAAGCCUCUUUUUCGGAGGAAUUAGGCUAAAGGGCCUGCCAAAAAUUGACUCGCUGAUCUCCGUGGUUCAUGCCUCUCAGGCAAUGUUAGCAAGUAUUAUUUGUCCCUACUUAGUGGGAGGGGAAACUGAGGCAGACAGCCAGAAACGUUAAGUGAAAUUUCCAUGUGACUCUUACAUUCUUGGCACCAUACCAAUUGUUUCUGCUCACUUUCCUGUAACGUAUGUUUGGGUAGAACAUUCUUAUUCAGACAGUCUUUGAGUGGGUGAUUUUGAUGCAGUUGCAAUGUUACUGGAGUGGUGUUGGGAAAUAUUAGGACUCUGAACAUCUUUUAAUUAUGUACUUAGAGCCAGCCGAAAGAAGCAAUGACCUUUUGGUUUCUUUUUAUUUUUUGUUGUGGCUGUUGCUGCCACAGUGAUUAUAUAAGAAUUAUUAAUGCUUACGAAAUCAUAGGCUCUGAGGAAUUAGGGGAGAAAUCACUUAUGACUCAUAAACUUGCACUCAGUUGGAAAAAAAAGCCUUAAGACUUUUAAAGUGAUGUUUCCCUUUUUUGUCAUUUUGGAAACUUAAAAAAUUCUUAUUAAAUUGCACAUAUGCCUUCU